rnacentral:lncRNA from 10 species
CGACGCCAAGGGAGCGGACGGGCGGGGAGGAGGUGGCCUCUGCGCAGGCGCAGAGAGGAGCGAGCGACUCCUGCGCAAGCGCAGAGUGAAGGGCCGGGAACAGUGGAGGGUGCGAGGAAGACAAUGGGGGAGGACCCUGAGGCGGCCUCUGUGAGCCGACAGGAACACGUGGUCGAUCAGAGAGAGACUCGAGGUUCGUGAACGGAUGGGGAGGACCCUGAAAAGCACUGUGGAAUACAGGUUUCUAGUAACUUCAAAAUCACAUCAUUUGGACUGGAACCCAAAGAUGGGAUCUUCUGAGAACAUCAGAGAAACGCUGCCCUUGGCAUCAUCACUGCAACAAAACAUCAGGAUCUUGAACCUUGGGGUCAUAAUCUCACAACUGAGCAGGGUCACUCUUGGAACUCUACAUCCAUUGAAACCCUUAAGGUAAAGCUAAUCAGGGAAGUUUCUCCCCAGAAGAAGAUGGCAUCCUUGAUGUGAGCAGCUCUUUCUGAAGAUCAUGGAUCAAGACUUCUUACUAUCAUGAGACUCUUAUCUUUGAAUGUUUUUCCGUUGCUUCCGCCUCUGUGAACAACAGAAGUGAGAAGGGGGUCUGUUUUGUGCACUUAUGGGGUAUACUUUUAUUUGUGAAGGGCUUUGCAGCCAGCUUUAUACAUGGAUAAUCUUAUAACUUGAUAGAUAAAGAUGAAGGCCCAGUGUAUCAUAGGUGAGAAACUUCAAUGGUACAUAUGGUGCCUCAUAAUCAUUCAGAAGCAGAACAUUGGUUCACUCCUCUUAACCCACAGCAUGGGUUAAAGAGACCAUUGCCAAGAGGCCUUCCCUCUUCUAGAAGGGCAUCAUUUGUUAGGUCCUUUUUCCAUGGUUUGGAAUUAAAAAGGCAAUGACUAGAAACAUAUCCCUCAUGGUAGACUCUGUAGCAGAUUCUACUGUAAAGGCUACACAACAGAUGUUAAAUUCUCUUGUGAAAGUUAUGCUAAAAAAUAGAAUUGGCUAAACAGGAAAGUACCUGUGCAGAUGCUGGCACUUAAGGCCUAUGGAGAAAACAUCAGGUGUUAUAGAGAGUCUGUUGUAGGGAAUUAACGAAAAGACCACUGAGUUAAGUCAAAGAAUGGUCUAUUUGAGUUUAGGUGGUCUGGUUUAUGGGGACCCUGGCUAAGGAGCAUACUCCAAAUUCUUGGUGUUAACCCUCUCAGUAGUCAUAAGAAUAGUCUCCCUGGUGCACUGUAUUCUCUCAAAGGUUUUAAAUGUUUGCAUGAAGCCAUCUUUAGAACGUCAGAUGGUCUCUCUUCAACUGGAAUGACAAGAGCUGAAAGAAAUGUGUGACCACGAGGACACCGAAACCGAUGAGUGACAUGCUGAGACUGGAAAUCCAAAAUGAUAGUAACGGAGAGUGGCGCUAACAUCCUAAGUUUUGGUCACACUCUUGCCUAAGUGACAACCUGACAAAGGGGGAAUUUUUUAAACAAAAUGAUGGGAGGCCAUUGUUUUGGACUGAGCACUAGGUCCCAACAGACCAAACCGAACCAAAAUGGCAUCAUUCGUGCUAAAUGUGACAUAAUCGAAUUAAGACUUUAAGGAAACACAUGGGUCCUAGAAUAGACCAGGUUUUGUUUUUCUCUUGCAAACAGGACUUUCCAGCAUAAGGUGGUAUCCUCAACUCAGUCCUUGUUCCUACCUUUGCAAAACUCACUGUUCUGCUUCCUAGUGGGUUUCAAGACCAAUGGUGACAGUGACAUCAAUAACUCAAGUUUCGAUCAAUCUCUCAAAACUGAUAAAAUGACCAAAAAGGGGGAAUUGUUAAAGCGAACUAAAUAUGGCCUGAGAAGGACUCCGUACUUCUGUAUUGGAGUCCCUGUGAACAAACUGAGCCUAACUUAAUAGGUAGACAAGAUUGAAAACCUAAAUUAGGAGUAUGUACCUGUCACAAUUGCUGAGUCUCGGCCAGUCCCAGCAGCCGUACUUCAAUCACUCAUACACUGCUGAAUGUUCAAACUGUGUGUAAAUAAGGCAAAUGCCAACCUGUAACUAAUCCAGGUGUUUCUCUACCUCACUUCCCUUUUUUUGUCUAUAAAUCUUCCACCACGUGGCUGCACUGGAGUCUCUCUGAAUCUGCUGUAAUUCUGGGGGCUGCCCGAUGUGCAAAUCAUUCAUUGCUCAAUUAAACUCCUUUAAAUUUAAUUCAGCUGAAGUUUUCUUUUAACAAGAGUGAGAUAAGAAUCUGUGUUCUUAUCCCCCAGAAUGGACAAAUCAGUAGCGUUCCUUGUCAUUCUUUUGUGGCUGGUUUCACGUAAAUAUUUUGUGUGUAUGAUAAUAGAAUUUGAUUUUAAUGAAUAUACUUUAAAAGCAACUUUUUUUUUAUUCUUCCUCACCAUCGAAGAUGGAGAAAAAUAAGAAGGGCUGUCUUGCGGUUCCAUUUCUUUUGUGGAUAGUAAGAAGCGCUGUCUUCUGGUUCCGUUUUUUUUUUCUGGAUAGUAAGGAUGUUUAUCUUACUCUGUCUUCAUUGUCCUCAAACCUCAAGUAGUCACUAAUACCCUGGCUAUGACAGCUUUUAUCGUAGUGUUAAAUGGCAGAUUUAUUUACUUGGCAAACAUUGUCAAGUCUCAGAAAAAUUACCCCAUGGUCUUGCCUUCUUCCCUCGUGAAUUGCCUUCCACUGAUGGAGAGGAUUUGAUCUGUUCCCUGCUCAUCAAUUUUUCUAGCUUCUUUGGGAUGUCCGCUCUGCAUAUCUACUAAGGAAUUAAGAAAUAAUGGCUUCAGCAAGAAACAAGGCAGGAAAGUGCAGUGACAUGAGGACCAUACAGGGAAGGAGCUGUCCCCAAAGCAGGGUCUUUGUGACUUGUACCUUGUGCGGACCUCCUACUCAUCCUGUGACUAAGAACACUGAACUUCCUGGGGUUACAGCCCACAGGUCUCAGCCUCAUUUCAUCCAGCCCCUAUUCAAGAUGGAGUCGCUCUGGUUCAAAUGCCUCUGACACUAGUAAGGAUCACAGGUGGCAUCAACAGGUUUGGAGCAAACCUGAGUGUCUCCCGGUUGGUCACAUCUCAACUGACGAAAUCCACGACCAGCAGAGAGCAGCCUCCUUGCCCCCUGUGCUCACUGAGUCAUCCAGCCCAUUUUGACCAAGAUUAUGUGAGUUGCUGGAGCAGAGGUUGGUUGAGGGAGCUCCCACUGUAUGUAAUCACCGUG